rnacentral:rRNA from 1 species
UGGUCGGUGUACAGGUGGUGCAUGGCUGUCGUCAGCUCGUGUCGUGAGAUGUUGGGUUAAGUCCCGCAACGAGCGCAACCCUUGUCUUAUGUUGCCAGCACGUGAUGGUGGGGACUCGUAAGAGACUGCCGGGGUCAACUCGGAGGAAGGUGGGGACGACGUCAAGUCAUCAUGCCCCUUAUGUCCAGGGCUUCACACAUGCUACAAUGGCCAGUACAGAGGGCUGCGAGACCGUGAGGUGGAGCGAAUCCCUUAAAGCUGGUCUCAGUUCGGAUCGGGGUCUGCAACUCGACCCCGUGAAGUCGGAGUCGCUAGUAAUCGCAGAUCAGCAACGCUGCGGUGAAUACGUUCCCGGGCCUU